AUUCAUAAAAAGUAAAUAAAGGGUCCGGUUGUGUACACUUAACAUAUUGUGGGUUUCGAGUCUGCUUCACGGAGAGAUAAAUAGGUGCGAACAUGACGAAUUGGAGAAAAAAAAUUGCUGCGAACGAACACGACGAAUUGGAGAAAGAAAAAGAGCUGCGAACUUAACGAAUCGGAAAAAGAAAAGAUUGGAGCUUCUUGAUUGGAUUUCGAUUAUUCUGAAUUCGUUCUAGUUCGUUCUUUGAUUGAUUUCGAUUAUUCUUACAAAAUUGGAGAAAGAAAUACAGAGGUUUGGAGGCUUUGUGGCAUUUCUCAUUUACAUGAUCACAACUUUCACCCUCUACAAUCCUGUUUGGAGUUUCAUAGAUCAUAUUAAUGGCGAUGAACCAAGGAGAUACACAGUGAUAUGUGGGAUGAGAGGACACUUAGGUUCUGCAUGUAACUCUGUUGGACAUUUGGUAGUCAAGUUUGGGGGUUAACCAUUUUUAUUCAAAUCUUGUUUGGAGAUACUUAAAGUUUGGUAGGAAUGCAGAUUCAGUUCUCCAGGUGAAGGUCCAUUUCGUAAAGAUGCUCCAAGUUGGUGUUGAGCUUCCUUUGAACCCGAGGGAUAUGAUGAGAGCCAGGACGAUCCUACCGGUUCGUACCCUACGGAUGAGAAUGUAGAAGGGAAUGCUUGACUAGAGCUAUGUUAGGAAGAUCUCACGGGGCGCGUGGAGAUCACUCAGGGUGUAUAGCUAUAGUUCUUUUUUGAAGAAUGAUCAGAUUAGGAUGACAUAGAGGGAACAAAUGUUUUUUUGGAUUACGUUAUUUUGAACUGAAAAACUGUACCUUUACUAAUAUUGUCAAUAUGACAUCUUAGUUGAAUGGGUUCCAUGUAUCAUUUGUUGUUGUGUAAAUACUUUGGAUUCAUAUUCUGAGAAAUUUUUCCGCUGCUUGUAAAUUAUAAUGACUCAAUUAUUUAUCCAAAGGUAUUACCUUAUUU